rfam:Lactobacillus kalixensis DSM 16043 Scaffold5, whole genome shotgun sequence.
GACGAGUCGAGAAAGAGCGCGAGAUGCGUAUAUUUUGAGAUAGAGGGCAUCUGCUUUUAAUAGCAAGCACGGGAAGUGCCGAUGCUGGAUAACCCUGAUGUGAACAGGAAGUGUCCUCA